rnacentral:sRNA from 1 species
GAAGAACUACAGUAAGUGGAUCUCUUUUAAGG